rnacentral:rRNA from 1 species
GAUGAACGCUGGCGGCGUGCCUAAUACAUGCAAGUCGAGCGAACAGACGAGGAGCUUGCUCCUCUGACGUUAGCGGCGGACGGGUGAGUAACACGUGGAUAACCUACCUAUAAGACUGGGAUAACUUCGGGAAACCGGAGCUAAUACCGGAUAAUAUAUUGAACCGCAUGGUUCAAUAGUGAAAGACGGUUUUGCUGUCACUUAUAGAUGGAUCCGCGCCGCAUUAGCUAGUUGGUAAGGUAACGGCUUACCAAGGCAACGAUGCGUAGCCGACCUGAGAGGGUGAUCGGCCACACUGGAACUGAGACACGGUCCAGACUCCUACGGGAGGCAGCAGUAGGGAAUCUUCCGCAAUGGGCGAAAGCCUGACGGAGCAACGCCGCGUGAGUGAUGAAGGGCUUCGGAUCGUAAAACGCUGUUAUUAGGGAAGAACAAAUGUGUAAGUAACUAUGCGCGUCUUGACGGUACCGAAUCAGAAAGCCACGGCUAACUACGU